GACGAACGCUGGCGGCGUGCCUAAUACAUGCAAGUCGAAAGCUGAAGCGAGGAGCUUGCUCUUCUUGGGUGAGUUGCGAACGGGUGAGUAACGCGUAGGUAACCUGCCUUGUAGCGGGGGAUAACUAUUGGAAACGAUAGCUAAUACCGCAUAACAAUGUAUGACCCAUGUCAUUUAUUUGAAAGGGGCAAAUGCUCCACUACAAGAUGGACCUGCGUUGUAUUAGCUAGUAGGUAAGGUAACGGCCCACCAAGGCAACGAUCCUUAGCCACCCGGAAAGGGUGACCGCCCAACUUGGAACGGGGACACGGCCCAGACCCCUCGGGGGGGCGCCGUAGGGGAACUUCCGGAAUGGGGGGAACCCCGACCGAGCAACGCCGGGUGAGUGGAGAAGGGUUUCGGGUCGGUAAACUCCGUUGUUAGGCAAGAAAGAAUGGGGGAGUGGAAAAUUCACACUGUGACGGUAGCUUACCAGAAAGGGACGGCUAACUACGUG
rnacentral:rRNA from 1 species